CCCUAUUAUUUUAGAACGUUAAUUUUUGUGCCUGAGUAGUAUUAGUUAUGUUCUUGAAACUUAAAGAAUUUGGCGGUAUCUCAUUCCGUCCAGAGGAAUCUGUCCCAUUAUCGAUAGUCCACGUUGGACCUUACUUAUUUUAUUUUUGUUUGUAUACCGCCGUUUAUUGAUUAUCUUUUUAGGGUUUAUAUUAAUUUUCUGGUUUCUUUAAUUUGAUAUAUUUCAGGUCAAGGUGCAGCUUGUUUUUAAGUGGAAUGAUGGAUUACAUUGUUAUUUGUUUAUGGAUUGUCUGAUUUUAAUAUUGGCAUGAAAUUGGAUUUGGUUGUAAUGGUUUGUAGAUUGUUAUUAUGAUAAUUGGUUCUGAGAUAUGUACACAUCGCCCGUCGCUCUCGUUUUAUUAUAAUGAGAUAAGUC
rnacentral:rRNA from 1 species